rnacentral:rRNA from 1 species
CAAUAGCGUAUAUUUAAGUUGUUGCAGUUAAAAAGCUCGUAGUUGGAUUUCGGAUGGGACCUGCCGGUCCGUCUUUGAGAUGUGCACUGGCAAGUCCUCUCUUGUUGUCGGGGACUAGCUCCUGGGCUUCACUGUCCCGGGACUAGGAGCCGACGAAGUUACUUUGAGUAAAUUAGAGUGUUCAAAGCAAGCCUACGCUCUGAAUAUAUUAGCAUGGAAUAACACGAUAGGACUCUGGCUUAUCUUGUUGGUCUGUGAGACCAGAGUAAUGAUUAAGAGGGACAGUCGGGGACAUUCGUAUUUCAUUGUCAGAGGUGAAAUUCUUGGAUUUAUGAAAGACGAACUUCUGCGAAAGCGUUUGUCAAGGAUGUUUUCAUUAA